CCUACGGGGGGCUGCAGUGGGGAAUAUUGGACAAUGGGGGAAACCCUGAUCCAGCAAUGCCGCGUGUGUGAAGAAGGCCUGCGGGUUGUAAAGCACUUUCGGUUGGGAAGAAAAGUUUGGCGCCAAUACCGCCGAACCUUGACGUUACUGACAGAAGAAGCACCGGCUAACUCUGUGCCAGCAGCCGCGGUAAUACAGAGGGUGCACACGUUGAUCGGAAUCACUGUAGGUGAAGCUGCCAGAGGUGUUCGAAAUCCCCGGGCUUAACCUGGGAAAUGCAUUCGAUACUACAUGGCUAGAGUAUGGUAGAGGGAAGUGGAAUUUCCGGUGUAGCGGUGAAAUGCGUAGAUAUCGGAAGGAACACCAAUGGCGAAGGCAGCUGCCUGGACUAAUACUGACACUGAGGCACGAAAGCGUGGGUAGCAAACAGGAUUAGAUACCCUAGUAGUC
rnacentral:rRNA from 1 species